rnacentral:rRNA from 1 species
GUCCACGCCGUAAACGAUGAGUGCUAGACGUCGGGGGUUGCCUCUCGGUGUCGCCGCUAACGCAUUAAGCACUCCGCCUGGGGAGUACGGCCGCAAGGUUAAAACUCAAAGGAAUUGACGGGGCCCGCACAAGCGGUGGAGCAUGUGGUUUAAUUCGAAGCAACGCGCAGAACCUUACCAGCCUUUGACAUGGGACGUUUGAGUCGCAGAGACGCGACUCUUCAGUUCGGCUGGCGUCCACACAGGUGCUGCAUGGCUGUCGU